rnacentral:lncRNA from 1 species
UAGCUGUUAGUGAAACAGUAAAACGAUAAACUGAACUGAUUAGAGCGGAUGCCUGCGAAUGAGUCCAGCAUAAUACAUUUAGUUUAGUUGCCGUAGAAUCUUUCUUAAGCGGUCCUCCAUCCUUGGCCAUUAGGGAUACAUUUAAUUACGCAGCCGUAUACAGUAUAUGACAUAAAUCGUCAGCCUCAUAGCAUAAUUGCCCAACUCAUUUUUGGGCCAACUGCGUUUUUUUGCCAAAGUCAUUCUGUAAUCAGUUGUUGCAUAUGCUGCAUAAAAGUGCUUAUCUCAUUAACCAAACAGAAAGCUUCUUAUAUGCCGUAAACAACAUUUGCCUAUGUCAUGAGCACGUUGUGGUUUAAAGAAAAAUAAGUUUUUUCUGUUUUUCUCAAAACUAAAAAAAUGAGUUAGGCAAUUAUGCUAAGAGGCUGACGAAUUAUAUAUGCAGGAAAGCUUAUGAUCAAACGAGAUUACGUGUAGGUUAUUUUGAGGCAACGAGGGGAUAUGUGAUUUAUUCACCGAGGCGCGUAGCGCCGAGGUGAAUAAACAC